AUUGAACGCUGGCGGCAUGCCUUACACAUGCAAGUCGAACGGCAGCACGGGAGCUUGCUCCUGGUGGCGAGUGGCGAACGGGUGAGUAAUAUAUCGGAACGUACCCUAGAGUGGGGAUAACGCAGCGAAAGUUGCGCUAAUACCGCAUACGAUCUACGGAUGAAAGUGGGGGAUCGCAAGACCUCAUGCUCAUGGAGCGGCCGAUAUCUGAUUAGCUAGUUGGUGGGGUAAAGGCCUACCAAGGCAUCGAUCAGUAGCUGGUCUGAGAGGACGACCAGCCACACUGGAACUGAGACACGGUCCAGACUCCUACGGGAGGCAGCAGUGGGGAAUUUUGGACAAUGGGGGCAACCCUGAUCCAGCAAUGCCGCGUGAGUG
rnacentral:rRNA from 1 species